AACAACAAAUGACAUGAGAUGUCCCUGCUGGGGAGAAAAACUUGAUGAUCCCAUUGGCAAACCAGUUCCUGAGAUUUGUAUCAAGGCCUCUGCAUCUCACAGCUACCCUGUGUCUUCUCUAUUGAAAAGCAGCUGGGACUUUCAGAGACAUUCUACUAAUGGCAAAUUCUGAGUGCCAUCAUGAAGAAUUUCAGGAAGAGACGUGAUUUGACCUUAGUGUUUUAAAUGGGCAUGGUCCUGCUGCCAAGUUCAGCAAAACAGCAGCUACUGCUGUCUGAUGUACCCUGAAAGCCUGAUCAGUCAGAUUAGCCAUUAGAGACCUGACCUCAUGGACCCAGUUGCAGGGUGGUGGCUGGAUGAUGGGCUGAUAUGAGGACAACCGCUCCAUCGUGCUCAGCGCUGCUGGGUUGUACUACAUGAGGAGCCAAGCUCAGUUUUAUUUCCCUGCACCUUUGCAAACGAUUAUUCUAGCAACAUACACUAGGCAAACAGAAAAUAAUAUGAAAUGGAUUCUGAUGUUUUUUGUGCUUGGACUAGUUUGCUUCACUGUAGCCCUUGAACUCUUGAAACAGAAGUAUCAAGAACCUGCUAUUCUCUUAGUGGGCUCUGACCAUGUGGUGCCCCAGAAGUUAUCUCCAAAUAUACUUCAAAAUAUCAGGCAGAGGUUUCCUGUCUAAAGUUACCAUGUGCCAUA
rnacentral:lncRNA from 1 species